UCCUGCAUGAGAUGUGUGCUGCAUGAGUGAUCUGUCAUGAUACUGUUAUGUACAUAGAAUUUUGAUGCUUAAUGAAUGUUACGCACUUUCAGUCGCCGUCGGAAAAUCGUCAAACAACGAUGUGAUGGUCUUUAAGAGAAUCUGUUCUCCAGAUGAGGAAGUAAAUAGUUAGGCAGUAUGAUUAGAGACGGAUGUUAGAUGGUCGGGUAGAGAGAUAUCGUGCACUUGAGAUUGAAGAAUGUUUCUUAGUUUGCUUCAGUAAAAUUACCAGCACUAUGCCUCCCGGUUUGAUUGGCGACUCGACAAAUACUUGAGCUUUCCUGCACGCCAUAGUUCUGUGUCUGUGACUAUCGUUGUUCCAUAUGCAUUUAUGCAAGAAAUUACGUUGAAGAUGUCAGAAUUGUCACCUAAGGACCAGUCUCUCUCCAUCUUUUGAGCAUUCAUAGAAGCUGCAGCCUCUUGUGAAAGGUAAAUUUGGGAAGCGAAGCAGAGUGAGUACCUAGGUGCCAAUUUACCCACGCCGUUUCCUCGUCAUCGCUGAUGUGUUUGGGGUUGAAUUUGACAUUCUUGCCCAUGCUGGAAGUGAGUUGUGCAAAGAAGAGCAAGACCUCCUGCGUUAACUUUGGCUUAGGCCACUCAAGAAAGGAGCAUUAGACAAGAAUAGCGAUAGCAAGACGGGGAUCCUCUACUCCGUACAGCGCAUGCUGCCUUCAGUGUCUCGAUAAAUCGCAAUCAUUGAUUUAUGGAGAUGAGGCUGUUAUCAACAAUUGUGUGCAAUUUGUCGAGACACCGGAGGGAGCACAGUGUGGAGCAGCGGAUCCUGCCACUAACUAGUACACACGAAACCUUUUUCCCCUUGAAUGGUGUGGGAAAGGAGAAGUCCUCAAAGCAGCAAUCUUCCGAGAUGAUCUCAUCCAGCGCCUUGAAGUUUUUCUCAUUGAUGCAUUCAUACAGUUGCAUUGCUCUCUCGCCCGGAGAGCUUGAUCUCGGCAUGGGGUGAGUUUCACUUGUCGAAGUAAAUACUUGGGCGAGCUUGCGGUGAUUAUGAAUUUGGAUGCCUUGCGUCUUGAUCUCCUUUCGAGCAAAUGGGGAUCUCCUCUUGAAGAUUGAAGUGUUGAGGGCAAUGCCGCCGUCUCUGACGCUGGAGGUUGUGCGUGAACGGCACGACAAGUGGAGACGAGAGAAGGUGAUGGUGUGAGCCAUUUUGCCUCCAGGGCCAAGAUGGGUCGAGUUAUUACUCGAACGGCGAGAUUAAAAACAAAGGAAUGACUUGAAGUAUAUGAGAAAUGAAUUGAGUGACUGAAUGGAGCAAAGAAUAAAGCUGACUCUUGCUUUGUACUCACAUAUGCUUGAUCAUACGCGUCCAUGUUCCUUCCCUGGUAUGAAAUCAAGGAAUCUGAACAUGGAAGGACCGAGUCCACGCAGAACCGGCAAGUAGACGUUAGUCAUGGCCAUCCAGGAGAUGUAUGAACAUCUGACAGAAAUACAACAGCCUUCUUGCCUACGCUUCA